rnacentral:lncRNA from 1 species
GACAUCACAAGACCUUAAGAAGAGCUAAACGGGCUGCCACCUGUAGCUGAAGAGUGCCUUAACGCCGAGGCCCACGGCUCCAUGCGAGAGAUGCCUGUUCCUUCUCUGAUAAAUUUGGCAGCUUCACGUACCCUAAGGCCCAGAAAGGACCUGUUUCCUCAACACCCUGACCAGCACAGAACAUUGUAAUAAUGACAAUUAUCAGUCAUUUAGCUCCAACUAAGCCCCAGAUAUUGUCAUAAAUUCUUUACAUAUAUUGAGUCAUAGAAUAAUCUCAAUAAUAUAUAAGGAUGUUCAUAUAAUCCACAUUUUACAGAAAAGAAAAUUGGAGUUGUGACCGAUUAAUCACAUAAUCACAGUCGUCUAAAUCACAUAGAUUGUAGAUGGAGGAAUAAGAAUGUCAGUGCCUGUGAUUGAAUGAAAAAUGCCCCAAAAGAUAUCCAUGCUCUAAUUCUUGGAAUCUCUGAAUAUUACCUUACUUUGCACAGACCCCCAAAAGGGGGGUCUUCGGAGAAAAAGUUAAAGAUGAAGAAAUUAUCCUGGAUUAUCCAAGUGGAGCUCAAAUACCAUCACAAGUGCCUUUAAUAGGGAGAGGCACAGGGAGAUUAUACAGUUACAGAAGAGAAGAAGACAAUGUGACCACACGGACACAGAUAGAAGCAAUGCCACCACCAGCCAAGGAAUGCGAGCAGCCACCAGAGGCUGGGAAAAGGUAAGGACAUAUUCUUCCCUAGAGCCUCCGGAGGGAGCAUAGCCCUGCCAACACCUUGAUUUCAAACCAGUGAUACUGAGUUUGGACUUUUGGCCUCCAGAACUGUGAGAAAAGAAGUCACUUAUUUUAGGCCAUCAAGUUUGUGGUACUGUAAUUUGUUACAGAAGCUACAGAAAACUAAUUCAACAUCUUUAAGUGCUAUUCGGCACACUACCACAAACAACUGUUUUUGUUUUGCUGUUGUUUGCCAAUCUGAUAUGUUAAAGACAUUAUCUCACUGUAUUUCUAUAGUUUCAUUUUUUAAACUUCUUUUACUUCUUACUUCUAUAUUGCUUUUAUUAUUAAAUUGGUUGCACCAACUGGGAACAACAGAUUUUAUUGUGUCUGCUAUCAACCUUAUCUCAGGCAACAGAUAGAAAUGAAUAAAAUUAACUCUUUAAAACAUAAGUUACAAAUAUUUUCCCCCCCAGUUUUACUUGAUGUUUUGUCACUGUGUUUAUGCCUUUUUUGAGGGGAUGAGGGUACAUCCCAGUGGAAUUUUUUAAAUGUUGUUUAAUGCAGUGAAUUAUGUUAAACUCUCAUUGUCUCUGAAUUUUGUGUAAAAAAUUAGUUUUCUGUACCAAAGUUAUAUAAAAUUUCUGUCUUGGAAUUUCUAGUAAUUAUAA